rnacentral:misc_RNA from 1 species
GAUGAAGAACGUAGCGAAAGGCGAUAAGUAAUGUGAAUUACAGAAUUCAGUGAAUCAUCGAAUCUUUGAACGCACAUUGCGCCCCCUGGUAUUCCGGGGGGCAUGCCUGUUCGAGCGUCAUUUCACCACUCAAGCCUCGCUUGGUAUUGGGCAACGCGGUCCGCCGCGUGCCUCAAAUCGACCGGCUGGGUCUUCUGUCCCCUAAGCGUUGUGGAAACUAUUCGCUAAAGGGUGUUCGGGAGGCUACGCCGUAAAACAACCCCAUUUCUAAGGUUGACCUCGGAUCAGGUAGGGAUACCCGCUGAACUUAAGCAUAUCAAUAAGCGGAGGA